GUGACCGUGGCGGUGUAGGUGGAAGCGGUGGAGGAGGAGGUAGUCAACACUGUUUUUUAUUUGUUUUUGUUUUUUUAAUUGGGGUAGCCCCAAAAUAUUGGGACAUAUAAAAAAGAUCACUUCCGAUCACACUCCAGUGAGGGAAUUAAGGAUGGCACGUUGUCCUUGUAACGGGAAUCCAGCAGGGUGGCCACCCAGUAAUCAGCACAAGUUAGAAUGUGGGCAACUCGACAGUCGUUGCGCAGGCACCUUGGUGACUCUAGAUAACCUCGGGCCAAUCACAUGCCCCAUGACGGUGAUGAUGCAUUCGGAUGUCUGCCCUAUCAACUUUCGAUGUUACUUUCUGUGCCUACCAUGGUGACCACGGGUAAUAGGGAAUCAGAGUUUGAUUCCGGAGAGGGAGCCUGAGAAACGGCUACCACAUCCAAGGAAGGCA